UACGGAGGGUGCAAGCAUUAAUCGGAAUUAUUGGGCGUAAAGGGCGCGUAGGCUGAUAGGAAGGUCAGAUGUGAAAUUUCGGAGCUCAACUUCGAAGCGGCAUUUGAAACUCCCUGUCUAGAGGAUAGGCGGAGAAAACGGAAUUCCACGUGUAGCGGUGAAAUGCGUAGAGAUGUGGAAGAACACCUGUGGCGAAAGCGGUUUUCUAGCUUACACCAGACGCUGAGGCGCGAAAGCAAGGGGAGCAAACAGGAUUAGAAACCCGGGUAGU
rnacentral:rRNA from 1 species